rnacentral:tRNA from 1 species
GCGGGAAUGGCGGAAUUGGCAGACGCGCUGGAUUUAGGUUCCAGUGCCGCAAGGCGUGGGGGUUCAAGUCCUCUUUCCCGCACCA